GAUCAUUCCGGUGGUCCACCUCAACGCCACCUCUUGCUUGUGGAAACCAUUUUCAACAUCCACACCAUUAAAACCAAAUCAUCAUGAUUUUAGACGAUUUACAUAAUCAACGUCGGAAUAAAAACUAAAAGGUGAGAGGCAUUGAAGUCGUGCGACAACCAUUGAACUCGCUGCCGAAUCAAAGGCGAAGCACAUGCUACGCAUUUAUGGUGAAAGGUGAGCUUGUAUGAAGGAUAUGGUGACUCGCUUAUGUACUUGUUCCAUUUGGGAAUGGUGACUCAUGUUUUACUUGUUUUUAUAUUUCAAACAAAAAUACACAACUGCAUAAAGAAGGUAACAUAUAAAAGAAGAGAAAAUGAACUCGUACAUGAACGAGAGCUAUACUUGCUUGUCGCAAAAAGCUAAAAAAAUUUAGGUUUAAUAGCAUAUUUUUUGUCCCCAGUUUUGUUUUGUUGAAUAAUGUCAAUUCAGUACCUCAUUUUAAAAGUGUUUGAAAGUGGUCCUCAAUUAUUAAAUUUUGUGUCAAAAUGGUCCCUUCCGUUAAAUAGAAUCAAACAGAGUUAAAGCAUUGAUGAUCUGGCACAGUACAGUGAUAACGUGUCAAUUUAAAGUUGUAUACAUAGUGACAAUUAUACGUUAAAUUGUAGAGUUUUUUUAAUUGGAAAAAAAUUAAUUUAGGGCACUGCCACGUAAAACUCCUUCUCCAGAACUGCCCCUAGUUCGUCUUCGCAUUCCUGGGCUCCUCCUUCUGCAGCGCCACCUUCACCACCGCUAACCCCUUGAAACAUUCAAGUUUCUUCUUUAAAAGCUUAAUCUUUCUUUCUGCUUUGUCUCUUAGUUUAAUAUCUUCUUUUAAGCUUCUUUUCCAGCUCAUUAAACUGCUAAAACCCAAGAUUUUUAUUUUCAAUUUUAGGGAGACAAAAAUAAAAUCACAGAAUAAAAUUUAUCAAGUAGAAACCAAAAAGUUAUGUCAUUUUGUUUCCUUAAUCUAAAUUAUAUGAAGGAAACAAGAAACAAUGUAUGAAAAUGACCUUGUUGCAUAAUGACUCUGCUUGUUCUUUGGCAACCUUUGAAGCCUGUCUCUCUGCUAGUAAUCUCCCUCUGAGGCACUCGAGAGCAACCCACCCAUCAUGUUCUUUCGUUUUCUUGCCACUGAUUACUCGAAACAAUACGAAUUCCAUUUUAUUAUUUUUCUUAGCAGUGAGAUAACCCAUUUGAAAGAAGGUCCGUGAGAGAGAGAAUUGAGAAACCCCCCUCCAUGUGUGAUUCUACUUGACAGUGGCUUGUGUUAUUGGCUUGUUCUCUGUCCUUUUACCACAACAAGUUGUCCUCUUUGUGUGUUACAGACAAGUACUGCUGCUGCAACAAUCACCGUAGGACGCUUGUGUUAUGAUGAGUUUGGUGUUGGAGGCCGCGACUUGCUUGGCCACCUCCGUCGGAGUGUAGAAGGGGUUAGCAGUGGUGACCAACGACUCCAACCAGUACUCUUAUAGACGCGUCUUUUAUUCCACAAAAGUUCUCAUAACAAAAACUUCUUCCAAUUUCUUUUCCUCAUUCAUCACUUCAUUCUCAACCUCUUUUGUCUUCUCUGUCUUGCCGCAAAUCACUACCAGUCCUGGCUUUGGCCUCGCCUUUGUCCUCUACAACACCACCAACCCUCCCAGGGGCCUCGUCAGACAACACUUCGGCCUAUUCACCAACGCCACCGCCCCCACCUUUUUCCCCCUUGUCGCCGUCGAAUUUGACACCAACUAGCGAGGGAGCUGAACACGACACGGGGAGGUUCCCAACACCACACGUGCGGUGGGGACGCUGGGUUACUUGGCGCCGGAGCUGGCCACGGUUUAAUGAAUCAGCAGUGCGAAUUAGGGUUUCAAUUUGAGACUUUGGGGUCUUGUUCUUAGGUUCUUAAUUGGGAAUUUCUUGUGUAUCUGCAAUUGCAAUGAAUGAAAUUAAGGUUGUGAUUUUGUUCUAUUUUGUUUUGCGAUUUGCGAAUGUGAGAUUCCGUUUUGAGUUUGGGUCUGGGAGUUUUGUUUGAUCUGCGUUUGGGUUUCUUUGAGAGCUUAGUUGUGUCUGCGUUGGAUUUGACCUAUGGAUGUCCACCUUCGAGGUAUGGAUGGCAGUGAAUCCUUAGGCUGAUGCAGGUUGAACCUAGAUGGGGAAGCUUCCCUAGCCAACCUCUCGCGCGAGUCACAGAGAAAGGGAACAAAACAUUUAUAUUGCGGCAGCCCAAUAAUGACACAUAAGUGUCAGAUCAUCAAUCCAUUAACGCCGUUUGGUUCUAUGUAACAGAAGGGACGAUUUUG
rnacentral:sRNA from 1 species